UACAGAGGGGGCAAGCGUUAUUCGGAAUUAUUGGGCGUAAAGGGCGCGUAGGCGGCUUUGCAAGUGACGGGUGAAAGCCCUCGGCUUAACCGAGGAACUGCCUGUCAGACUGUAAGGCUUGAGACCGGGAGAGGUGAGUGGAAUUCCCAGUGUAGCGGUGAAAUGCGUAGAUAUUGGGAAGAACACCAGUGGCGAAGGCGGUUCUCUGGGACGGUACUGACGCUGAGACGCGAAAGCGUGGGGAGCGAACAGG
rnacentral:rRNA from 1 species